rnacentral:rRNA from 1 species
ACGCUUAACGUGCGGGCGUCCAGCGGAAAACUGUCCGGCUUGGGACCGGAAGACCCGAGGGGUACGUCCGGGGUAGGAGUGAAAUCCUGUAAUCUCGGACGGACCACCUGUGGCGAAAGCGCCUCGGGAAGACGGAUCCGACAGUGAGGGACGAAAGCCAGGGUCUCGAACCGGAUUAGAUACCCGGGUAGUCCUGGCCGUAAACGAUGUCCGCUAGGUGUGACGCAGGCUACGAGCCUGCGUUGUGCCGUAGGGAAGCCGUGAAGCGGACCGCCUGGGAAGUACGUCUGCAAGGAUGAAACUUAAAGGAAUUGGCGGGGGAGCACUACAACCGGAGGAGCCUGCGGUUUAAUUGGACUCAACGCCGGACAUCUCACCAGCACCGACAGCAAUAAUGACGGUCAGGUUAAUGACCUUACCCGAGCUGCUGAGAGGAGGUGCAUGGCCGCCGUCAGCUCGUACCGUGAGGCGUCCUGUUAAGUCAGGCAACGAGCGAGACCCGCACCCUUAGUUGCCAGCAGCAUCCAUGUGAUGGCUGGGUACACUAGGGGGACUGCCGCUGCCAAAGCGGAGGAAGGAACGGGCAACGGUAGGUCAGUAUGCCCCGAAUGUGCUGGGCAACACGCGGGCUACAAUGGCCGAGACAGUGGGAUGCGACCCCGAGAGGGGAAGCUAAUCUCCGAAACUCGGUCGUAGUUCGGAUUGAGGG